rnacentral:rRNA from 1 species
GACGAACGCUGGCGGCGUGCUUAACACAUGCAAGUCGAACGGAAAGGCCCUGCUUUUGUGGGGUGCUCGAGUGGCGAACGGGUGAGUAACACGUGAGUAACCUGCCCUUGACUUUGGGAUAACUUCAGGAAACUGGGGCUAAUACCGGAUAGGAGCUCCUGCUGCAUGGUGGGGGUUGGAAAGUUUCGGCGGCUGGGGAUGGACUCGCGGCUUAUCAGCUUGUUGGUGGGGUAGUGGCUUACCAAGGCUUUGACGGGUAGCCGGCCUGAGAGGGUGACCGGCCACAUUGGGACUGAGAUACGGCCCAGACUCCUACGGGAGGCAGCAGUGGGGAGUAUUGCACAAUGGGCGGAAGCCUGAUGCAGCAACGCCGCGUGCGGGAUGACGGCCUUCGGGUUGUAAACCGCUUUCGCCUGUGACGAAGCGUGAGUGACGGUAAUGGGUAAAGAAGCACCGGCUAACUACGUG